AAGGAUGAAGGGUUUGAUCCUGGCUCAGGGUGAACGCUGGCGGCGCGCCUAACACAUGCAAGUCGCACGAAGAACGGGUAG
rnacentral:rRNA from 1 species